rnacentral:rRNA from 1 species
UGCGGACAGUGUCUGGUGGGUAGUUUGACUGGGGCGGUCUCCUCCUAAAGAGUAACGGAGGAGCACGAAGGUUGGCUAAUCCUGGUCGGACAUCAGGAGGUUAGUGCAAUGGCAUAAGCCAGCUUGACUGCGAGCGUGACGGCGCGAGCAGGUGCGAAAGCAGGUCAUAGUGAUCCGGUGGUUCUGAAUGGAAGGGCCAUCGCUCAACGGAUAAAAGGUACUCCGGGGAUAACAGGCUGAUACCGCCCAAGAGUUCAUAUCGACGGCGGUGUUUGGCACCUCGAUGUCGGCUCAUCACAUCCUGGGGCUGAAGUAGAUCCCAAGGGUAUGGCUGUUCGCCAUUUAAAGUGGUACGCGAGCUGGGUUUAGAACGUCGUGAGACAGUUCGGUCCCUAUCUGCCGUGGGCGCUGGAGAACUGAGGGGGGCUGCUCCUAGUACGAGAGGACCGGAGUGGACGCAUCACUGGUGUUCGGGUUGUCAUGCCAAUGGCACUGCCCGGUAGCUAAAUGCGGAAGAGAUAAGUGCUGAAAGCAUCUAAGCACGAAACUUGCCCCGAGAUGAGUUCUCCCUGAGACUUUAAGUCUCCUGAAGGAACGUUGAAGACGACGACGUUGAUAGGCCGGGUGUGUAAGCGCAGCGAUGCGUUGAGCUAACCGGUACUAAUGAACCGUGAGGCUUAACCUU